AUUGAACGCUGGCGGCAUGCUUUACACAUGCAAGUCGAACGGCAGCACGGACUUCGGUCUGGUGGCGAGUGGCGAACGGGUGAGUAAUACAUCGGAACGUACCCAGUAAUGGGGGAUAACUAUCCGAAAGGAUAGCUAAUACCGCAUACGCCCUACGGGGGAAAGAGGGGGAUCGCAAGACCUCUUGUUAUUGGAGCGGCCGAUGGCUGAUUAGCUAGUUGGUGAGGUAAAGGCUCACCAAGGCGACGAUCAGUAGCGGGUCUUAGAGGACGAUCCGACACACUGGAACUGAGACACGGUCCAGACUCCUACGGGAGGCAGCAGUGGGGAAUCUUGGACAAUGGGCGCAAGCCUGAUCCAGCAAUGCCGCGUGCGUGAAGAAGGCCUUCGGGUUGUAAAGCGCUUUUGUCAGGGAGCAAAUCCUUGUGGCUAAUACCCACCGGGGAUGAGAGUACCUGAAGAAUAAGGACCGGCUAACUACGUGCCAGCAGCCGCCGUAACAC
rnacentral:rRNA from 1 species